GAUAGGAGAAAUUCGGAAAUGAAACUUAAUUGUGCAUCAUAACGAAUUUGCAGAUAUUGCCUCAAAGACUCGUUGGACAGGAAAUUGGUGAAGGGUGAAUUUGUUUACGAUUAGUAUCCAAAUGGAGAAGGACCGCUUUUGGCUGGUGCCACUGGUUUUAUGAGUAAAGCUUUUGGAGGAACAAGUGGCAAUCUGACUUUGCCAGGUCUUACCGUACUAAUAGUCUAAUCCCGACGCUGUUGCAACAAUAUCGAGAAGUGAGGAGGAUACUGAUUCCAUGGCCCCUUAUCUACCUUCCUUUCCAUCAAGAGGUCCAAAUCCAAUCACUCAAUAUUCUCAAACCAGAUUUAGCAGCCCUGGAGUUAAUAUUCUAGCAGCGUGGCCUCCAAUCACUCCAAUUACGGAUUUAGGUGCUAAAGGAUUACGGUAUAAUAUGAUUUCAGGAACAUCAAUGGCUUGCCCACACGCUACACGUGCGGCUGCAUAUAUCAAAUCGUUCCACCCUACAUGAUCUCCUGCUGCAAUCAGAUCCUCCCUUAUGACUACUGAUAAACCCUCGAGUUCCAAGAUCAACCCUGUUGCCGAAUUUGCAUACGGUUCUGGCCUGAUAAAUCCUAUUAGGUCUCUUUACCCUGGUUUGGUUUAUGAUGCUGAUGAGCAUGACUAUGUGAAGUUUUUGUGUGGAGCAGGCUGCAAUGAUGACAAAUUUUACAGCUUAUAACAGGGAAUCAAUAACUCACGUCUUCCAAAGUGAAUACUGGUGGAUCACGCACUGACAUAAAUUGUAUCACCCACUGACAUAAAUUAUGCUUUUGCUCUUUUAACCACACCUUUAGAAUCAUUCACUCAUGUUUUCGAUAGGACAGUUACAAAUGUUGGUUCAGCGAAUUCCACCUAUAAGGCUAAAGUGGUUGCCCCGAAAGGACUUAAUGUAGUCGUUAGCCUAGCGUUUUAUCUGUCACAUCUAUUAGGCAAAAGUUAUCGUUUACCGUCAAGCUGAAGGGAAACUAGAUGGAAUAAUUGCCUCUGCUCCUUUGUUGUGGGAUGAAGAUACUUUUCAAGUGAGGAGCCCCAUCGUUGCCUAUAGUGCACCAUGAAAUUGUGGUGCAUGUAUGGGAGAAUAGAUUGAUCAUCUCCUAGUUGCUGACAUUUGAUUUACCAUGUUCCCUCCUGAUUAAUUUUAGUUUACAUCAUAUCUUUUUAUUUCUUGACAGAUUUUGAUUUUAUUAUACAAAUCUAUUGUCUUUUUUUUUGUUG